rnacentral:rRNA from 1 species
CCUACGGGAGGCAGCAGUGGGGGAUAUUGCACAAUGGGGGAAACCCUGAUGCAGCGACGCCGCGUGGGCGAAGAAGUAUUUAGGUAUGUAAAGCCCUAUCAGCCGGGAAGAAGAAAUGACGGUACCUGAGUAAGAAGCACCGGCUAAAUACGUGCCAGCAGCCGCGGUAAUACGGAUGGUGCAAGCGUUAUCCGGAUUUACUGGGUGUACAGGGAGCGCAGGCGGCACGGCAAGCCGAAUGUGAAAGCUAGCGGCCCAACCGCGGUAGUGCAUGGGGAACUAGCGGGCUGGAGUGCCGGAGAGGUAGGCGGAAUGCGGAGUGUAGCGGUGAAAGGCGUAGAUAUUAGGAGGAACACCAGUGGCGAAGGCGGCCUACUGGACGGUGACUGACGCUGAGGCUCGAAAGCGUGGGGAGCAAACAGGAUUAGAUACCCGAGUAGUC